rnacentral:rRNA from 1 species
GAUCCUGGCUCAGGACGAACGCUGGCGGCGUGCUUAACACAUGCAAGUCGAACGAAGAGCGAUGGAAGCUUGCUUCUAUCAAUCUUAGUGGCGAACGGGUGAGUAACGCGUAAUCAACCUGCCCCUUCAGAGGGGGACGAACAGUUGGAACGACUGCUAAUACCGCAUACGAUCUAAUCUCGGCAUCGAGGAUAGAUGAAAGGUGGGCCUCUACAUGUAAGCUAUC